GCCAGGCAUGGUGGUGCAUGCCUGUAGUCCCAGCUACUUGGGAGGCUGAGGCAGAAGAAUCACUUGAACCUGGGAGGCAGAGGUUGCAGUGAGCUGAGAUAGUGCCACUGCACUCCAGCCUGGGUGACAGAGUGAGACUCUGUCUCAA
rnacentral:SRP_RNA from 2 species